ensembl:lncRNA
GUGUAGAUGAGGCUGGGUCUAGUCAGGUUAUAGAUGGUGGUGUAGAUGAGGCUGGGUCUAGUCAGGUUAUAGAUGGUGGUGUAGAGGAGGCUGGGUCUAGUCAGGUUAUAGAUGGUGGUGUAGAUGAGACUGGGUCUAGUCAGGUUAUAGAUGGUGGUGUAGAUGAGGCUGGGUCUAGUCAGGUUAUAGAUGGUGGUGUAGAUGAGGCUGUGUCUAGUCAGGUUACGGAGGGUGGUGUAGAUGAGGCUGGGUCUAG